rnacentral:lncRNA from 1 species
UUAUAAAAAUAUAAUUAAUAAAUAAAAAUUAAACAAAACAAAAUGUAAAAAUCCAACAUAUUUAACAUCUUACAAAACACAAAUUAAUCAAACCAUAUUCUGAGCCUAAAAUACAUAAACAUCCAAACACCAAAUUUAAAAAUCUUAAUAAUACAAAUAACAGUAAUUAGAAUCCAAAUUACAAAAGCCAAGUGCUUUCUUUAGUUCUCUUCAUUUUGUUCAAUAGGAAUCCUGCACAUAAAAAGUAAAUAAAAUUAAUACAUUGUCAAGUUGGUUUAUUCAUAUUAAUUAGUUGUAUGAAAAGGAAUGGCAGUAGGGAUGGCCAAAAUCCCCACGGGGACGGGUACCCUCGGGGAUUUUCCCUAUUCGGGGAGGGUAUAGGGAUAAUUUCAUACCCAAUUUCUUAUUCGGGGAAGGGGCGGGAAAUUUUUUUUACCCAAUUUCUUAUUCGGGGAGGGGACGGGGAUGAGGUGGAAUCCCCAUCCCCUACCCAUUUCCCCAUCUUUAAUUUUUAAUUUAAUUUUUAUUUUUUUAAAUUACUAGUAAAUAAAUAAUAAAAUUUAAAUUAUAAAAUUAUAAGUAUUGGUAAAAAUAAAAAAUUAUCAAAAUAUUUAUAUUAUUAAACUUUUAGGCCUAAUUAACUAAUUAAAGCCCUAAAUUUUUAUUUAGGACAUUAAAAAGGCCGGACAGAUUCUAUUAGCCCAAAAAUUUUGUUUUAAUUUUAAUAUUCAUUAAAUAUUUUAAACUUAAAUCUAUUUUUUAUAUAUUUUUAGAUGUUAUAAUUGCCCACAACAAAUCAUAAUUUUAAUAUCUAAUCUAAUCUAAUAUUUGCUCUUGAUUUGAUUCGACUUAACUAUUGUGUUGUAAAUAGAAUAGUCCACAUUAUAAAAUACCCACGCCACCAUUGAAAAGUUAAUUUUGAAUCUAAAUUUGAUUUUAUUUGUAACAAUUUUGUAUUAGGCUAUUAAUUUGUUCAUGAUAGUUUGUAUCUCUUGCAUGCUACGUUACUUACUAAUUUAAUGUAUGUGACUUUUGUAAUGGAUAUUAAUGUAAGAUAUAUUUCGAACUUUACUUUUAUUUGAAUUUUUUAUUUUAAUAUGAUUAACUCAAAAUCAAAAAAAAAAAUGUAUUAAUUAUUCGGGGAUCGGGGACCCUCGGGGAUCCCCCGUUAUUCUUCGGGGAGGGGAUGAGGAUUCUCUUAAAUAAAUUUGACGAGGAUGGAGAGGGGACGAGGACAUACGCAAAAUAUCAGGGAUGAAUACAGGGAGAUUAGUCCCCUCCCCUCGCCUCCCCAUUGCCAUCCCUAAAUGGCAGUGAUGGGAAAGGUCCUUAAACCUUCCCUUUUAAGUCAACAAAAUUGGCGAUCAACUAUUGUAAUAACAUAUUAACACGGCAAAUCGGUGCAAUAUACAUCUCAUACCAACAAAUUUGAUUAAGGAUAUUAUCAUAGUUACUAAUCUGGAACCGAUAAUUAAGUAUUGGAAUUUAUAAUCACCAACGAAAAAAAAAAAAGGAAACUCAAUAGCUUAAAAAUUUAAAAAGAAAAAAAAACGAGAUGGGAAGGGAAUAGGAGCUUACUGUGCGUUAGAUGAAAGUGAGAUGGUGGAGGCCAAAGCUUUGUUUCGUUAAUUAAACAAAACAAGAUGAGAAGGGAAGAACGGCUGAGAUGGUCCCUUGUUUUUGAGAGGACGCGAAGAUCGAUUGACGAAACGAAAUGGCUGAUGAAAGUUAGAUGGUGGAGGCCAAAGCUUUGUUUCGUUAAUUAAACAAAACAAGAUGAGAAGGGAAGAACGGCUGAGAUGGUCCCUUGUUUUUGAGAGGACGCGAAGAUCGAUUGACGAAACAAAAUGGCUGUGGUCGGCUGUGAACGGUGGAGACAAACUGGCGAAGGGAAGAGACGGCCGAGAGAAGGAAAAGAAGAGUGGAGUUGGAAAUUGGAAACCCUCAAGAACAAAAAUUAGGGCCGGCUAUGCCCUAAUUUUUGUUUCACUUUGUAUAUUUUGUAUUAUUAUUAUUUUAAAUUACUAUAUUAACCUUAAAUUACGUAUAACAAGAAAGAUAAUUUAAUUUGUAUAAAAAAAACAACCUAGUAACGUAUACUUUUUAUGCACUAGACUGUACGUACACUUUGAUUAAUAUGGCCACGUUGGCACACAAUAUUUAUAAAUUAUAAUCUGACA